UACGUAGGGGGCAAGCGUUGUCCGGAUUCAUUGGGCGUAAAGAGCGUGUAGGCGGCCAGGUAGGUCGGUUGUGAAAACUGGAGGCUCAACCUUCAGAGGUCGACCCGAAACCAUCUGGCUAGAGUCCGGGAGAGGAGAGUGGAAUUCCUGGUGUAGCGGUGAAAUGCGCAGAUAUCAGGAAGAACACCCGUGGCGAAAGCGGCUCUCUGGAAACGGUACUGACGCUGAGACGCGAAAAGCGUGGGGAGCGAACAGG
rnacentral:rRNA from 1 species